CAAAGAUUAAGCCAUGCAUGUCUAAGUAUAAGUGAACUUAUACAGUGAAACUGCGGAUGGCUCAUUAAAACAGUUUGAAUUUAUUUGAUGAAUGUAUGAGAAUACUACUUGGAUAACCGUAGUAAUUCUAGAGCUAAUACAUGCAACGACGCCCGACCGUUUCACUACGGAAGGGCUGUAUUUAUUGGAUACCAAAACCAUCCUUCCCUCGGGAAGUUUUGUUUGAUGAUUCACAAUAACUGAUCGGAUCGCCACUGUGGUGGCGACAGGUCAUUCAACAUUCUGCCCUAUCAGCUUUCGAUGGUUGUGUAGUGGACAACCAUGGCCAUAACGGGUAACGGAGAAUCAGGGUUUGAUUCCGGAGAAGGAGCUUGAGAAUUGGCUACUACAUCUAAGGAAGGCAGCAGGCGCGCAAAUUACCCAAUCCCGAUUCGGGGAGGUAGUGACAAAAAAUAACAAUACCGGGCCUUUUUGGGCUUGGUAAUUGGAAUGAGGGAGAGUUAAACGGACCAUCGAGUAUCCAUUGGAGGGCAAGUCUGGUGCCAGCAGCUGCGGUAAUACCAGCUCCAAUAGCGUAUAUUAAAGUUGUUGCAGUUAAAAAGCUCGUAGUUGGACUUGUGUGCGCUGUCCGCGGGUGGCCUGUGCCCAAAAGGGCGUUUCGGUUCGGCCCCGGUGGCGCCUUGAAAUCUGCAGCUGGGGGACGUUGGCCUUAACUGGUCGGCGACCGCACGCCGGCUGCUCGGUUACUGUGAGAAAAUUAGAGUGUUCAAGGCAGGCAUUGGGUGUAAUUGAAUACAUUAGCAUGGAAUAAUAAAAUAUGGCUCCUGCCGUAUUUUGUUGGUUUUGACUGGUGGGAGUAAUGAUUGAUAGGGACGGUUGGGGGUGCUAGUAUUGAGCGGCCAGAGGUGAAAUUUAUGGAUUCGCUCAAGACUAACUUAUGUGAAAGCAUUCACCAAGGACGUCCUCUUUAAUCAAGAACGAAAGUUGGGGGAUCGAAGACGAUCAGAUACCGUCGUAGUCUCAACCAUAAAUUAUGUUGAUUUGGGAUCGGCGGUAGUUUUUUCAUUAAGACACUGUCGGGACCACGGGAGAAAUCAAAGUGUCUGGAUUCUGGGGGAAGUAUGGUCGCAAGGCUGAAACUUGAAGGAAUUGAUGGAAGGGUAUUAUUAGGAGUGGAGCCUGCGGCUUAAUUUGAUAACACGGGGAAAUUUACCAGGUCCAGAGAUGUAGAGGAUUGACAGAUUGAAGCUCUUUCUUGAUCACUUCGGUGGUGGUGUAUGGCCGUUCUUAGUUGGUGGAGUGAUUUGUCUGGUUAAUUCCGUUAACGAACGAGACCUCAGCCUGCUAGUGUAGUCGGCUGGA
rnacentral:rRNA from 1 species